UCUCUCCAUGAAUCUUUAAUUUAAUUAAUUCCUUACAAAUCUACAUUUCUGAAUUUCGACUAUAUUAAAUUUAUAUUUCUUCUCAAUGAGUGUAUAUGUAUUGUUUGUGAAAAUGUUUGAAUGAGUUUUUAUUUUUUAAGUUAAUUUAUUUUUUUCUUUGUUCGUGACGUUCUCUUGGGCUUGCAUGCUUUUUCCUUUUGGUUUUGCAGUUAAAAGAGCUAAACUUUAAAUUGUGGACUGCUGAUGGAUUUUGGGCUUUGCUUAUCUUACAUCAUUUUGAUUUUUGAGCUAAGCACCUUCUUCUCAAUUUUUUACUGAACUCUCUCUUAAAAAAUUGUAAUUUGACUGCCCUCUACAGUUCAGAGUUUUAUGGAUUUUGUAAAAAUAUGAGUAUUUGGAAAUUAUGAAUCUUCUGAUUUUUAGAUUGAAGAUGAAGGAAAAAGUUAAUGAAGAAGGGAAAACUGUUUAGACCAACUCCUCUUGCCUGUGAUUUGAAAAUUCAAGAAAGUGUGAUAGAGAGCUUUGGGGAGGAAGUGAUGGGGACAAGGCUGAAGUAUUGGUGGCUAUGUUGAAGGUAACCAUGGAUUUGGUAAUAGAUCUGAAUAUUUUGAAACUUUUUUUUUGGGACGCUAAUUUAUUUUAUUUGUGAAAAUGGUUCUCUUGUGCUAAAAAUUUGGACUUUGUGCAUGUAAAAAUGGAUGCUCAUUGAGGAUGUGUUGGAGAAACUCUUAGGUUUCUUCAUAAAAU